rnacentral:rRNA from 1 species
GACGAACGCUGGCGGCGUGCCUAAUACAUGCAAGUCGAACGCAGUGGGGACGGGUGAGUAACACGUGGGUAACCUCCCAUCAGAGGGGAUAACACUUGGAAACAGGUGCUAAACCGAUACUGAUGGAUGGACCCGCGGUGCAUUAGCUAGUUGGGGGGGUAACGGCUCACCAAGGCACAGAUGCAUAGCCGGCCUGAGAGGGGGAUCGGGCACACUGGGACUGAGACACGGCCCAGACUCCUACGGGAGGCAGCAGUGGGGAAUCUUCGGCAAUGGCCGAAAGUCUGAGCGAGCAACGCCGCGUGAGUGAAGAAGGUUUUCGGAUCGUAAAGUUCUGUUGUUCGGGAAGCGGUAUCUAACCAGAAAGCCACGGCUAACUACGUGCCAGCAGCCGCGGUAAUAG